rnacentral:sRNA from 1 species
AAGAAAAAGUGUGAUUUUUCAAGGAAUCAAGUGUUUAAAGGUGGUGAGCUAUCUGAUACGGGUAAAAGACUACACCCGAGGAUCGAGAAUAGGAGUAUAUCUACUCCUAGUACAUGGGCACUGCAGUGACGGGGGUUCCGUGGGCCAGCCUA